GGAAGGGCUGUAGCUCAGUGGCAGAGCGUCUGCUUUGUGUGCAGAAGGUCCCAAGUUCAAUCCCUGGCACCUCCA